AAAUGGAUGGACUUGAGAUGGCGAGCAGCCCUCAGUGAAUGCUGCUCAGCUGACUGUAGACGUGCUCUAAGAUCUGAGAGUAGGCCUGGUCUUUGGGAGCGUGGCAACUCAGAGAGCCCUGAGGAAGGAGAGAGAACGGUCUUCUAUACCUUGAUUUUGUCCAUCAUGGUGGUAUCCGGACACCAGUACUGGUUAAAGUGGACGAUGUCAGGAGCUGACCUGUAGUAAUCAACCAGCAGCAUCUAUGGAAGAAACAAAAAGACCCUUUUUUAAGUGAUUUGUAACAAAGCAUCACACACGUUCUUAAUUGUAUGCAGUGUUUUCAUAGGACUGAGGCUGUAGUCUGUGUACCAUCUCAUUCAGGACGUCACUGGUGAGGAAGUUGUCCUGAACGUAGGUCACCUCUACGGCCACCGGGAUGCCGUAGUCAUUGGGCCGUUGCUGCAGAAGGGCAGAUUCAACAUGAGUUUAGCAGAAACGCAGUACCGCAGAUGAUGCCCAGGCAGGGCUGGAAGCCGUUGUUGGACCCCUGCAGCCUCAGCUGGUGGUCCAUCUGCGAGUCGAUGUCCUGCAGCGAGGGCAGGGCCGGACCCCGGGGGUGACUGUGGUACCAGCCCACCAACGAGAGCCCGCGCAUGAACAGGUUCUGACAGAUCUGGAGAGGAGGAGUCCACACAACAGACACUGAUCAGAAACAAGGCUUUAAUCAGAAGCAGACUCUCUGUCUGCCAGCCGGGUCCGACAGGGGAAAGCUCUUAGGACUGUCAGCACUGAAAUACACCGACCACAGAGAGAGAAAACGCUGGGGUUAAAGACAACUUCACCUUCUUUAAGUAUAUUUCUUCCAAUUACUUUUAAAUCUUACUCACGUUGUGUAUUUGUAUCCCAUCGUCCUCCGAGGUAUCCCACCACCUCGCUGGUGGUCAGGUGACAGUGGAAGUCCUGAAGAGGAUAGAAAGAAAAGUAGUGGAUGGCCAGCACGCCGUCCCCCGGCUCCACCAGCCCGUCCUUCAGCAGCACUCUCAGGGUGAUGCCUCUCCGGGUCAGCAGGGAGCCCCGGCCUGAGCUGGACCUCAGGUCUGCCUCCUCCCCCCC